rnacentral:rRNA from 1 species
AGUGAACGCUGGCGGUAGGCCUAACACAUGCAAGUCGAACGGCAGCACAGUAAGAGCUUGCUCUUACGGGUGGCGAGUGGCGGACGGGUGAGGAAUACAUCGGAAUCUACUUUUUCGUGGGGGAUAACGUAGGGAAACUUACGCUAAUACCGCAUACGACCUGCGGGUGAAAGCAGGGGAUCUUCGGACCUUGCGCGAUUGAAUGAGCCGAUGUCGGAUUAGCUAGUUGGCGGGGUAAAGGCCCACCAAGGCGACGAUCCGUAGCUGGUCUGAGAGGAUGAUCCGCCACAAUGGAACUGAGACAGCGUCCAGGCUCCUAAGGGAGGCCGCAGUGGGGAAUAUUGGACAAUGGGCGGAAACCUGAUCCAGCCAUACCGCGUGGGUGAAGAAGGCCUUCCGGUUGUAAAGCCCUUUUUUUGGGAAAGAAAAGCAGCAGGUUAAUACCCCGCUGUUCUGACGGUACCCAAAGAAUAAGCACCGGCUAACUUCGUG